CGCGGAGUGGAGCAGUUGGUAGCUCGUCGGGCUCAUAACCCGAAGGUCACAGGUUCGAGUCCUGUCUCCGCUACUA
rnacentral:tRNA from 4 species